GUGGGUACAGCUCAGUGGUAGAGCGCAUAUUUAGCAUGUACAAGGUCCUGGGUUCAAUCCCCAGUACCUCCA
rfam:Camelus ferus unplaced genomic scaffold scaffold1904, whole genome shotgun sequence.